rnacentral:rRNA from 1 species
GUAGGGAAUAUUGGGCAAUGGAUGCAAGUCUGACCCAGCCAUCCCGCGUGCCGGAAGAAGGCCCUCAGGGUUGUAAACGGCUUUUGACGGUGAAGAAUCGACAGGAUGCGUCCUGUUUUGACGGUAGCCGUUGAAUAAGCACCGGCUAACUCCGUGCCAGCAGCCGCGGUAAUACGGAGGGUGCGAGCGUUGUCCGGAUUUAUUGGGUUUAAAGGGUGCGUAGGCUGGAAGGUCAGUCAGCGGUGAAAAGCUGUCGCUUAACGAUAGUCUUGCCGCAGAUACUUCCUUUCUUGGAUGAGGAGGAGGCCACUGGAACGGAUGGUGUAGCGGUGAAAUGCAUAGAUAUCAUCCAGAACACCGAUUGCGAAGGUAGGUGGCUGUACCUUAAUCGACGCUGAUGCACGAAAGCAUGGGGAGCAAACAGGAUUAGAAACCCGGGUAGUCC